rnacentral:rRNA from 1 species
CCUACGGGAGGCAGCAGUAGGGAAUCUUCCACAAUGGACGAAAGUCUGAUGGAGCAACGCCGCGUGAGUGAAGAAGGGUUUCGGCUCGUAAAGCUCUGUUGGUAGUGAAGAAAGAUAGAGGUAGUAACUGGCCUUUAUUUGACGGUAGUUACUUAGAAAGUCACGGCUAACUACGUGCCAGCAGCCGCGGUAAUA